rnacentral:rRNA from 1 species
AUGUAUUUCACUCGGCUCGAUGACUCGCCCAUGUUCAGGAAGCAGAUGCAAUCACUUGAAGAAGGUGCUGACUUGCUGAGAGAGAGAUGCUUGAAGUAUCACAAAGGUUGCCGUAAAUACACUGAAGGGCUAGGCGAAGCAUAUGAUGGAGAUAUUGCGUUUGCAAGUUCACUAGAAGCAUUUGGAGGUGGUCACAAUGAUCCAAUCAGUGUUGCCUUUGGAGGACCUGUGAUGACCAAAUUUACAAUUGCCUUGAGAGAAAUUGGAACAUACAAGGAAGUUUUGCGAUCCCAGGUUGAACAUAUGCUAAAUGACAAGCUGCUGCAGUUUGUGGACAUGGAUUUGCAUGAUGUGAAGGAUGCCCGAAAGCGUUUUGACAAGGCUAGCCUUCUGUACGACCAGGCUCGUGAGAGGUAUUUAUCCUUGAAGAAAGGAACAAGGACAGACAUAGCAACUGCAGUUGAGGAUGAGCUCCACAGCGCCAGAUCUUCAUUUGAGCAAGCUCGUUUCAACCUGGUGACUGCGCUUUCAAACAUUGAGGCUAAGAAAAGAUUUGAAUUUUUGGAGGCUGUUAGUGGGACAAUGGAUGCACAUCUUCGUUAUUUCAAACAAGGAUAUGAAUUACUCCAUCAGAUGGAACCGUAUAUCAAUCAAGUUCUUGCUUAUGCACAGCAAUCAAGAGAAAGGUCCAACUACGAGCAAGCUGCUCUUGUAGAGAGGAUGCAAGAGUUCAAAAGGCAGAUUGACCGGGAAAGUCGGUGGUCGCCAAACGGGAUGACUGAUUCCCCUAAUGGUGAUGGAAUACAAGCAAUUGGUCGAAGUUCACAUAAGAUGAUUGAAGCCGUCAUGCAAUCAGCUUCAAAGGGAAAGGUUCAGACUAUUCGGCAAGGCUAUCUCUCAAAGCGUUCUUCAAAUUUGAGAGGCGACUGGAAAAGGAGGUUCUUUGUCCUUGAUAAUCGAGGAAUGUUGUAUUAUUACCGCAAGCAAAAUAGUAGACCAUCCAGUGGUUAUUCUAACCAACGAAGUAGCACUCCCACUGAGCAUGGCUCUGGGCUGCUUAGCAGAUGGUUCUCAUCUCAUUACCAUGGCGGCGUGCAUGAUGAGAAAUCUGUAGCACGACAUACAGUAAACCUGCUAACAUCAACCAUUAAAGUUGACGCAGAUCAAUCAGAUCUAAGGUUCUGUUUCAGAAUAAUUUCGCCCACAAAAAACUACACACUGCAGGCAGAGAGUGCGAUGGAUCAGAUGGAUUGGAUUGAAAAGAUCACUGGUGUCAUUGCUUCUUUGUUAAGCUCCCAAUCCCCUGAGCGGCGUCUACUGCUGAGCCCUAAGGGCAGUGGCCAUCAUCGAACAAACAGCGAAAGUAGUUCUUUCAGUAGCUCAACAGAACUUGACCAUUCCAUGAGUGAAGAUUUUAUGAUGGAAAAGAACUCAGGAAGUGGGUACUUUGAGCACUCCAGAGUCACACAACAUCACCGAACCAGCAUGAGACCUGACAAGCCAAUUGAAUUGCUUAGGAAGGUGGUUGGCAAUGAUGUUUGUGCUGAUUGUGGUGCUGCAGAGCCUGAUUGGGCAUCCCUAAACCUCGGAGUCCUUGUAUGCAUAGAAUGUUCUGGUGUACACCGAAAUCUUGGUGUGCAUAUAUCUAAGGUAAGGUCUCUGACACUUGAUGUCAGGGUGUGGGAGCCAUCUGUAAUCAAUCUCUUCCAGUCUUUAGGCAACACAUUUGCCAACACUAUCUGGGAAGAAAUGUUAAUUUCAUCAAGCAGUUUUGAUCAUGGUGAUACUUUGAGAGCUGACGGAAUUGAAAACACACCAGAUAACUUGGCUGUCAGAAAGCCUAGACAAUCGGAUCCUAUCUCUCUGAAAGAGAAAUUUAUUCAUGCCAAGUAUGCUGAGAAAGAUUUUGUACGAAAGCAUAGUAUGGAUGAGACUCAGCUAGCACAACAGAUGUGGGAUCAUGUAAGUUCAAACAACAAGAUGGAGGUGUACAGUCUGAUAGUGCGAUCGAACGCGGAUGUAAAUCUAACUUAUGGGCAGACAUCAUUUAAUUCGGCCUUGACUCUUGGAAAAGCGCUUCUCUUACAAGAGCAACCGUCUUCGCCGUCAAAUGGUAGUUUUGAUCGUGGCACACAUGAGAAGAUAUCUCCCAGGGGUUCUCUUUCUCCUGCGAGCACAAGCGCACGAACAGAUGAAUUGGAUGGCUGCGCUGAGGGCUUAUCUUUGCUUCAUCUGGCAUGCCGUGUCGCGGAUAUAGGCAUGGUUGAGCUACUCUUGCAGUAUGGAGCCAGUGUGAAUAGUACGGAUUCUAGAGGCCGAACACCGCUUCAUCACAGCAUUUUGAAAGGAAGGCGCGUGCAUGCCAAGCUGCUCCUCUCCAGGGGUGCUGAUUCGCAGGCGACAGACUGUGAAGGUAGAACGGCAUUGCAGUACGCCAUCGACAGCGGAACCAUCGACGAUGAAGAGAUUCUUGUUUUGUUAGAAGACCCCAGGUAG